GAUCUAGGUUGCCUCUCAAGAGUGCUAAGUUUAAAGUCUUUAGUCUGACUUUUAUUAAGUCACUCCUAAGAAAUUGGGUUACCUUCCAACAAAUGCUAAGUUUAAAGUCUUCAACCAGACUUCUUGAGUCUUACGGUGGCUCAUGCACUCGAUACUUAAACAACUCUGGUUCCUUCCAAAAACAAUACUUGAUCAGUGAGA
rnacentral:lncRNA from 1 species